UACGUAGGGGGCGAGCGUUGUCCGGAUUUACUGGGCGUAAAGCGCGUGUAGGUGGGGAAGCAAGUCCGGUGGGAAAGCCCGCGGCUCAACCGCGGAAGUUCGCUGGAAACUGCUACUCUUGAGGGUGAUAGAGGGAAGUGGAAUUGCUGGUGUAGCGGUGAAAUGCGUAGAUAUAGGGAAGAACACCAAUAAGGCGAAGGCAGUUAACUAUUCUACUCCUGACAUUGAGGCAUGAAAGCGUGGGGAGCAAAACGG
rnacentral:rRNA from 1 species